GCAGGAUGGUAUUUCAAACUAUUGAAGCUAUCUAACAACUUUUCUUUGUUUUUGCUCUUACUAAGAUGAACAUGUUGUUACCUUUGUGAAGAUCUUUCAGUCUUUCAGUUCAAAGCAUGAAACUUUUUUGCAUUUUACCUUUUUCUUGGGGCUUUUUUUUCCAGGGCCAGGAAAUGAGGGAAAAGCGUUGAGCUUUUUUAGAUUGGAUGUGUUUGCUGCUGAACCAUUUGAGAACUCACCACUCCCUUUAGCUGCAGAGAGAACAAGAUGGAAAGACCCUCUAAAUAGCUUCAAUGGAUUUAAGUGGAUGGAAUAUCAGUGACCACCAUUAUUGGGUUAAGCUCUUCUAACCACUAUUACUCCUCUCUUCAGUAAUAGUACCUUCUAGGUUUUUUGUUUUUUGCUUCCCACUGUAUUUUGUUCAUUGUUGUUGCUAAUAGUUUUAUUUUAUGGGACUGCCAUAACCUACUUUGGAACUAUCAGAAAAAUGAGCAAGGAAGAAUAUACUUUGAAUGCAUCUGAAAUUAGAAAGUCUGUCUAAUUAUAUUAUUAACUUAAUAAUUAGUUUCUGGCCUAAAGCAAAAUGUGAGUAUCUACUACAAAGACGUUGGUAAGCAAGUUAGACCAGUAAGAGUGAGAACACAAGUUUGAACCCAGAAGAAUCAUUUUGUUAGGAGAGACGGCUACAGUUUUAUGAGUGGCACAUCCGGGCUAAAGACUAACAUCAAAAUUGAGCAUCUAGAUUAAGUGAUGCUCAAUUUUUACUGUUGGGUGUUUUUAUUUGCUCUUUCAUUUUUUUGGUGCUUUACUCCAAUCUAUAACCUUAAUGAGAUUUUUAAUCAGUUAGCUCAGUUUUAUGUAUUGAAUUUCAAAAAACAAACAAACUCCACACACUACUUUUCUGUUUACUAAAUUGGAUGCAAUCAGUGGCAUAUACUGCAAUUCCUCUGUUCAUUAUUGCUGCAGUUCCUGUGUUCAUUAUUGCUGCAAUUUGCAACAUGAUAUAAAUUAUGACUGGAGUUUGCUUGGAUUAAGAAACUUUUUCUGUUCAAAGCAUGUAAUUCAUAUGUUUUGUAGGUGGAUCAGGGAAAAAAGAGACCCAAUAAGUCUGCUUCAAAAACUCCAGUAGCUACCUAAUUCCAAAUUUAGUGAGUGGCAAAAGCAGAAGAGUGGAAUUGGGAGCUUACAUCUGAAUGGAGUUUACAUCUCCCAGUUUCCUUUUAUGCCUGUGAAGGAGAGUGGAAUUGGUAUAUGAUGGAAUGUGGGCACAGGUCUGCUGAAGAGAGAAUGUCAGCUCCAACAGGCCAGAAAAUUGAAGAUUGAAGCAAUCAUUCGGAAAUCAAUGAUCAAGAAAUAUCGGGGUGAAAUUGCUCAGGGAAAGGCCUAUAAAUUAAAAUUAUCUAUUUUGUUGUGGUGACCAAUGGUGGAGUGGGGUUGGGCAACCUCACAUGAGUUCAAUAUACUCUUCGAUGGCAAGACAAGGAUAGUCCCUGAUGAAUCUGCUCCUAUUUUAUGUAUACCUAAAUCUUUUACUGUGGUGAAUGAGAUAACACAGUGUGAUAACGAAUGAUAACAAGGUGUGAUGGUGGUUCUGUAUCAAUGUGGGGAUUAACACAUUGACUAUAUAGAACAAUUUCUAGAGGCAAACACUCCACAUAUUGCACAAUCUUGGAGCUAUUUUUGGUCUCAAGACAAAUGAUUGCAAUUCUUUCUAUGGUCUAAGAUCUCAUGGUAGACUUCAAGCCAGUAUCUCAUCUUAUUUUAUCAUGCUAUUAGGUAAUCCUGAAAUGGUUAUAGAAAUUUAGUUUAGAUAUUCUAAAUGUAAUAUAGUCAAUGUUCACAGCAAAUUGAUGGUAAUUGAUUACCAUGUAGCUUUUACUGGAUCAUCUAAUGUAAAUGACCGGAGUUGGAUUAAGAGACUUCGAGGUACACUUAAUAUUUUUUUUGUGUCACUAUAGUCUGCUAUUUCUUUUUUUUUUUUGGGAGCAGAAAAGAAACAAUUAA